ACGCAAUAAGUAUCCCACCUGGGGAGUACGGCCGCAAGGUUGAAACUCAAGGGAAUUGACGGGGGCCCGCACAAGCAGUGGAGUAUGUGGUUUAAUUCGACGCAACGCGAAGAACCUUACCAAGACUUGACAUGCAAAUGAACAUCUAAGAAAUUAGAUGGGCCUUCGGGACAUUUGUGCAGGUGAUGCAUGGUUGUCGUCAGCUCGUGUCGUGAGAUGUUAGGUUAAGUCCUGCAACGAGCGCAACCCUCGUGACUAGUUGCCAUGAUAAAUGGAACUCUAGUCAGACUGCCGUAGUUAAUACGGAGGAAGGUGAGGAUGAUGUCAAAUCAUCACGUCCCUUAUGUCUUGGGCUACACACGUACUACAAUGGCUAUUACAGAAAGAAGCGNAACCGCGAGGUAGAGCAAAUCUCAGAAAAAUAGCCCUA
rnacentral:rRNA from 1 species